rnacentral:sRNA from 1 species
AAUAAUAUAUAAUGACAAUUUUAACCUUUAUAUACACUUUAAAAAUAAUACUAAAUUUCUAUCUAAUUAUUUAAUAAGGGUAAAAUUAGAUAAACAGUUUUAAAAUUUGCAUUGGAAAUAUAAAAUUUCUAUUUUUAUGACACAAAUUAUUUUCUAAAAAAUUCAUCUUUGUGAGACGGAGAGAAUAUUAACCUAUUAGAAUUAUGAAUCGUUUAAUUAUAGAGAGAAUAAAGUGCUCUACAUACUAUAUUAUAGCACAUGUUUAGUGCUAUAUUGUAAAGCACUAAACCUUAUAGUGUUUAGUGCACAUGAAUACUAAACAUAUGCUAUAAUA